ACGAACGCUGGCGGCACGCUUAACACAUGCAAGUCGAACGAGAGAAGAGGAACUUGCUUUUCUGAUCUAGUGGCGGACGGGUGAGUAACACGUGAGCAAUCUGCCUUUCAGAGGGGGAUACCGAUUGGAAACGAUCGUUAAUACCGCAUAACAUAAUUGAACCGCAUGAUUUGAUUAUCAAAGAUUUAUCGCUGAAAGAUGAGCUCGCGUCUGAUUAGCUAGUUGGUAAGGUAACGGCUUACCAAGGCGACGAUCAGUAGCCGGACUGAGAGGUUGAUCGGCCACAUUGGGACUGAGACACGGCCCAGACUCCUACGGGAGGCAGCAGUGGGGAAUAUUGCACAAUGGAGGAAACUCUGAUGCAGCGAUGCCGCGUGAGGGAAGAAGGUUUUAGGAUUGUAAACCUCUGUCUUCAGGGACGAAAAAAGACGGUACCUGAGGAGGAAGCUCCGGCUAACUACGUGCCAGCAGCCGCGGUAAUACGUAGGGAGCGAGCGUUGUCCGGAAUUACUGGGUGUAAAGGGAGCGUAGGCGGGAUCGCAAGUCAGAUGUGAAAACUAUGGGCUUAACCCAUAAACUGCAUUUGAAACUGUGGUUCUUGAGUGAAGUAGAGGUAAGCGGAAUUCCUAGUGUAGCGGUGAAAUGCGUAGAUAUUAGGAGGAACAUCAGUGGCGAAGGCGGCUUACUGGGCUUUAACUGACGCUGAGGCUCGAAAGCGUGGGGAGCAAACAGGAUUAGAUACCCUGGUAGUCCACGCCGUAAACGAUGAUUACUAGGUGUGGGGGGACUGACCCCUUCCGUGCCGCAGCAAACGCAAUAAGUAAUCCACCUGGGGAGUACGACCGCAAGGUUGAAACUCAAAGGAAUUGACGGGGGCCCGCACAAGCAGUGGAGUAUGUGGAUUAAUUCGAAGCAACGCGAAGAACCUUACCAGGUCUUGACAUCGUAUGCAUAGCUCAGAGAUGAGUGAAAUCUCUUCGGAGACAUAUAGACAGGUGGUGCAUGGUUGUCGUCAGCUCGUGUCGUGAGAUGUUGGGUUAAGUCCCGCAACGAGCGCAACCCUUACUGUUAGUUGCUACGCAAGAGCACUCUAGCAGGACUGCCGUUGACAAAACGGAGGAAGGUGGGGAUGACGUCAAAUCAUCAUGCCCCUUAUGACCUGGGCCUCACACGUACUACAAUGGCUGUCAACAGAGGGAUGCAAAGCCGCGAGGUGGAGCGAACCCCUAAAAGCAGUCUUAGUUCGGAUUGUAGGCUGCAACCCGCCUACAUGAAGUCGGAAUUGCUAGUAAUCGCAGAUCAGCAUGCUGCGGUGAAUACGUUCCCGGGCCUUGUACACACCGCCCGUCACGCCAUGGGAGUCGGUAACACCCGAAGCCUGUAGUCUAACCGCAAGGAGGACGCAGUCGAAGGUGGGAUUGAUGACUGGGGUG
rnacentral:rRNA from 1 species